CAGGAAUUCCUCGUCAUUUAUACGCCGAAAAGAGCUGAAAAAUUUCUCCACUGUCAGCUGUUAAUGGAAAAUACAAGAAAUUAGGAACUAACGCUUUGAUAGGUAGACGAAAAAGAGGAGAAAUAAGGUUUUUACACAGGUCAUGGGAGCGGAAGGAAUGGAAGACGACCAAGAAGAUGCUCAGAGAACUCUUCCCCACCCCAGCAAUGCCCCCAGAAUCCAAGUAACACGAGCAGAGAGUUUGGAGAACACACAGAGUGAUAAUGAAGAGGACAGUGAAGAAACGAGGAGGAGGCUGAGUCGGCAGACCUCGGAGCGGAGGGGAUCUGUCCCCACUGGACUAGUGGAGCAUCAUCUGAACCCUCAAACACACUCUUUAUGUGGACAAAUUCUUAGGGUUAUGGGGGAUGAGCAUUAUUCUAAAGGCUUAGGCCAACAUUUGAGGUAUAUGGGGGAUGAGAUGUGUUAUUCUUACCACAUACGGAAUAGUUACUACUCCGCUCAAAGAAACAGUUCGAAUUUGACAAACAGUCAUUCGUUACCAGACUUAAGGAGACACAAAGACUGAACCUUGUGAUAUUAGCAGUGAUAUCAAUAAUCACUGGAUGCUGUGGUAUUAAUAUUGGACUGUGAUGAAGAGGAGAAAUCAGAACGCAGUUCUUCCUUCAUAGAAAGUGUGAAAUAGCUAGGUUUUAUUGUGACAUACUGUGUUUGUAAACCCAGCUGAAUUCAUCUUUUGAUAGUCCAUGGACUAAAGAGAGAAACACAUAGAAAUGAAAAGUGAAAUAUGCAUUGCAUGCACAUUGACUUUUGUAAGUUGGGGGAGUUUAGUGAGUUGAAUCGGAAAAGGCCAUUUCUAUUCAUGAUAAGUGCAUUUCCAAGCAGACCUAUAUUUACCUGUAGAUAUGAGAGGUGAUUAUUGUAUAGGAUGUGUUGACAGUGUGCAGAAGGUUGACAGUUUUUAGGUUAUUGGUAGUGAUAUCGGGUUUUUUCCCCCCUGUUUUGUUUACUGUUUUAGAUUUUAUUUCAAAGUUGAUAAACAACUAGAUCAGCAGAGUAAUAAACAAAGUGCCAUAUUUAAAUGCUCCCAUUGACAAGCGUUUUAGUCAUGUGGAGGAAAAAGUCGAGCACACAGGUAAACAUGUUUACCUUGAAGGUUGAUGUCGUAAUUUUUAUUUACUUUCUUGUUGCUAAAGGCUUUGCCAGACUCUAUAUUUAUUAGGCUAGCUAUUCUGAGACUACUUGGUUCACAGACCUUCUUUCAUUCAUAAGUUCAGAUUUUGAUGGUAUGUUCUUUGUUAAUUGAUUAUUUCCAUUUCACUGUGAUGUCAGUGUUCUUUUGAUAAAGACCUUUAGAUUUAAGGGAUUUGUAGUGUGUAUGAAAAUCCUCAAACUGCUGUUAAAAUAUUUUGAAGGUUAUGAACAUUUUAAGAAGGUCUCAUUCAUAAUUUAUGAGUACUUAAUGAUAUCAACACCUGUUAAAUUUCAUUUGUUUUAAAAAAUUUUUGUGAUUAAGGAGUGUAUAAGAUUUUGACUGCAUUUUGCUGUAUAUUAACAUGAUUAAUUUUCAUUAUUUGGUUAAUGACCCGUUACUGCUUUAAACAAGGGUGGUGCUUUACUAUUGUAAUUUUAAGCAAAAGCCAUUUUAAAGAAUAUAGUUUAGUUAAUGAAUACAUUGUUUAAUUGCAUGACGUAAUGCAAGAUUAGUGAUGUUGCAGAAUAUUGCACAACAGCAUUAGAUAUGUACAACCUUUUUUAUGCACCAAUAAUCUCACAUAUUAUUGCAUGUCACUCAGCCAGUUGUUCAAGUUUUAUUGAAUACAUUAAGAAUAACCAGAAAUUGUCCUACUUUUAAACCUACAAUAUUCUUUGCAUUUUAUAUCCACAAGAUCGAAAGUUUGAGAGGGGGGGGGGUGUUGUUUGUUAGUCCAAAACUUUGACCUUGAUCAUAACUUUUGAACAUCAGGUGAAGAUGGAGACAUUUCUACUGAUAAACUGAAAGUCCAGCUUAUUCUUCUUGAUGAGAUAGUGAUCAAGCUCAGGUCUAUACGAUGAAAUAAAGGUCCAGCCCAGUCUUCUUGAUGAGAUAGAGAUCAAGCUCAGGUCUAUACGACGAGAUAAAGGUCCAGCUCAGUCUUCAUGAUGAGAUAGAGUUCAAGCUCAGGUCUAUACGACGAGAUAAAGGUCCAGCUCAGUCUUCAUGAUGAGAUAGAGUUCAAGCUCAGGUCUAUACGACGAGAUAAAGGUCCAGCUCAGUCUCUGUGAUGAGAUAGAGUUCAAGCUCAGGUUUAUAUGACGAGAUAAAGGUCCAGCUCAGACUUUGUGAUGGGAUAGAGUUCAAGCUCUGGUCUAUAUAACGAGAUAAAGGUCCAGCUUAGUCUUUGUGACAAGAAAAAGGUCAAUGCAUGGUAUUGUAUGAGUACAAAACUGGAAUUUGGGAUGUGAGGGUAGAGUGUUUCACUUACCCUUCCUUUUGUUAAUGUUUGGUAUAACUAGAUACUGUAGAAGGUGCUUCUCUGGUGUUGCUGAUAUUACAUAUAUAUAUGUAUAUAUACAUGUAUAUAUAUAAAAUUGAAGAAACUAGUCGAGUAUACUCAAUUGGCAUUGGGAUAUUUUUAUUAUAUAGACAGACAGGUUAAGAAAUGUUGUAUAUUUAUCUUAAGUAUCUUUAUACAUGUAGAUAUUUAUACAUGUAAGUUCAGUAAUUAGGACAGGAUAUGAUUUGUAGUGCAUACAUUGUACUUGUGCAUGCAUUACUAUUUAAGAUAGAUAAAUUUUCUGAUGCAAAUAACUAUAUAAAUCCUGGUAUGAACUUCAUACUGGGAACCAGUAGUUAGAAUUGUUGAUUGAACAUUUUGUUAGGACAGUGAAAAAUUUGAGAAAAUGAAGAUACCACUGUGCAUGUACUUGUCAGAGUUAGGUAGUUUAUCGGGGUUUUACGGUCAUCAGAGAUCUUUCACCUUUAAAUACUAACAUGCAGUUGAAAUACAUAUUGCAGCCCACUUAAAAGCGCCUGUGGACUUUAUUGAAUUCUACACAAAGACAUUCUUUUGCUAAUAAGGAUUUAAAUUAGAAUGGAAUUUGUAAUUUUUUUUAUCAUGGAUUGGCAUCAGCAGAAUAGAACACCUGUACAAGUGUGAACGAUAUAUAUUUGUUUUCAUUUUAAUUCGCAUUCACACCUGUUACAUUGUAAAUGUUAAUUAUUUCAUGUCUUGAAUUAAAAUUCACUUUCCCAGAGCACUGGUAAUGAAAGUUUUGGAUUAUGUACCCUCAGAGGAGGAAAGUUUUAAGUAAUUCGUUAUAAAUGCCAAAAGACACUUGUAAAUUGGAUAUAUAUAGCCUCAGAUGAGGAAACUUUUAAGUAAUUGGUUAUGAAUGUCAGGCAGAUAUCUUAAAAUUCGCCAAUGAAUACAUAGGUAGAUUGUACUCCUUUUUAAAGGAUUGAUCAAAUGAUAUUUCUAUGGCUGACAGUGUAUGAAUUGUGUAAAAUUGUUUUUAGGGUGUUAUUACAUACAGUGUUAUGUGUACGUUAAGUUAUACAUUGUUGUGGCACUAUCUUCCCCGCUACAGACGUGGGAGGCGGGUUACGUCGCUUGUGGUUGUGAGUACUGAUAAGCAUGAUAAGAGAGAUGUAUCUACUAUUAUGUACCAUGUACAGUGUGUUAUACAGAUGAUAAUUUGUACAAGAUAAACAUUGUUACUGUUAAUGGAGGUUAAUGUGUUUAAUUAUUUGUUAUUUGUUAGUCAGACAUCACGGUACCGAUAAUAUGUGCAAUAGGGGAUUAAAUGUUAUAUAGAACUUACCAAAUUACAUAUUAUAACAUAUUGCAUUGGUAUGAAUUGGAAUAAUCAUAAUAAAUCAUAAUAUUGAC